UCCUCAUCCUUUUGUAACAAUUACAUUGCCAAUAGGUUUUCUCUCUUUCUCUCUUAACGCACUGGGGACGCGGGUUGCCGUCAACAGCCUCAACACAUAGGAGAGAGCUCGAUCAGUGCUCCAACAACUCGAGAGAUCGUUCUGCGCUGCAAGAUCGCUCUGUCACCACCUCUCUCUCUCUCUCUCUCUCUCUCUCUCUCUCUAUCUGGGCGGCCGUCAAGAUAUCUUCCAAGAUCGAUCUGUGCUCCAACAUCUUCAGAGAUCGAUCUGUUCUCCAACAUCUUCUCACUAACAAGCAGUCACAGAUCGAAACAAGAGCUGCGGCCCUGUUUCUAUAGUUGGUCGAUUUGUAGUAUUCUGGGUACUCAAUUUCGGCAGGCAGAGAUAGGUGAAGACAACAAUGAAGAGAUGGAAGACAAUGCAUAUGAAGAAGAUGGUCCGGGAAGACAAGAAAUGGAGAUGUUAAGAAAUACAAUUGCACAAAGUCUAAUGAAUGCAUCUACUUAGCAUUUAGUUGCAAAGUUGUAUUGACUUUAAUACAUUUUGUGUAAUGUUUCCCGUAUACCAUGGUGGGGGCAUGUUUUGUGUAAUAUUCUCAACUCAUUUGUAUAAUAUUUAAGGGUUUAAUGUAAUCUUUUAUUUGAUCGAAGCAAUA